rnacentral:ncRNA from 1 species
UUGAGCCGUAUGAGGGGUGACUCUCACGUACGGUUCUUAGGGGAGGCAAGGGUGGUAACACCCUUGCUUUACCCGAC